AACAAACGCUGGCGGCGUGCCUAACACAUGCAAGUCGUACGAGAAAGUCGGCUUCGGCCGAUGAGUACAGUGGCGCACGGGUGAGUAGCGCGUGGGUAAUCUGCCCCCCGGUCAGGAAUAACCCGCCGAAAGGCGGGCUAAUACCCGAUAACACUGACGCUCCGCGGAGCGUCUUUCAAAGGAGGCCUCUGUUUACAAGCUUUCGCCGGAGGAUGAGCCCGCGUACCAUUAGCUAGUUGGCAGGGUAAUGGCCUACCAAGGCUGCGAUGGUUAGCUGGUCUGAGAGGACGACUAGCCACACUGGGACUGAGACACGGCCCAGACUCCUACGGGAGGCAGCAGUGGGGAAUAUUGGGCAAUGGGCGAAAGCCUGACCCAGCGACGCCGCGUGGGUGAUGAAGGCCUUCGGGUUGUAAAACCCUUUCGUGCGGAAAGAAUAGUCCUGUAGCGAAUAACUACGGGAUUUGACGGUACCGCAGGAAGAAGCACCGGCUAACUCCGUG
rnacentral:rRNA from 1 species